rnacentral:lncRNA from 1 species
GUAGGAUCAGCAAUGCCCUUCAGGGUCUAGCUUGGUUACAUUUUAGUCUAUCUUUCGCAUACUAAUCUUUGAGGACUGACUGAAUUAAACAAGGACAUUUAGAAUUUCCGACAGGAAGUACCAGAAUUUAGCCUGGCUAAUGUAGGGCAAUAUUAUCACUACUGCGCACUGUACUGGUUAUGGUGUUAAACUGUUUGACUUCUUACUUGAAGCCUGUCAGAUGAGAGUUGAAAGUGCCUGCUAGCUCUCUUGUGCUACACCAUUCACUGCAAGGUCAGCUCAUGUGUAUUGCUUUUUUCCCCCGUUCGCUACGCUGACUGCCUUUAGAUGUAAAGGAAAGUUUCUAGCACGCCUAGACAUGGAAGAGAUAUGGAUUUCAAAAUUUACAUUUAUUUUUCACCUUAUCAGUACAUAGUUGUUAAAUAUGAAAAGGAGUAAAAAAGUAAAGGUAAAAAAGGGGAUAUUACUUCGGAAGCAUUUACCAUAUUUCUGUUAAAAUUACAUUCUCUUAAAUAUUAAUAUAGUCUGACUUUUUUCAAAUAAAACACUAAUCAAUUUGUUAAACUAGGUUAGACUCGGAAAUAGAAUAUCACUAACCGUUCUAAGCAUUAAUGAUAUGGACACAGUUAUAUUUCUUAAUACUUGCUGGUUCCUUGUCUAACAGUAUUAUUAAAACCAUUUUGAAAAAAGCAAAGACUAAAAGGGGCUAUUCACUAAAGUGAGAAUCAAAUAUAAGUGAAUAAUCCUUUACCUUUAUUAAAGGUAGAGAAUAUAUCUUUCAAAUGCACUCUGCAGUUUCCUUUGUAAGUUUGUUAUAUAAUGGAAAAAAUAUAUACCUGAUCAUUUGCUCAUCUGUGAAAGAUAAGAUAAAACAGCAUCAAGUGAACACAUUUCUAUCUUGAAAUCCAACAGUUUUAGUUCACGUGUCAUAUGUAAAUCAUUCAAGGUCUCUAGUCGUCCUUCAGUUUUAGAUAGAAUUGCUAGUAUUUCAAGACCCAAUUUACAUUUUACCCUUUUACCCAAUUUACAAUUUACAUCAAUUUACAUUAUAGAGCUCUGAUGUUCAGAUGCUCUAGAAAAUACAUAGAAGCACCACUGUUUAGUUUUAAGUUACCCAGGGUUUAGGUUACCCAACAAUUAUAUAGCAUAUUUCUAAAAUGAAAGUUAUUGCCAAUGGAACAACAACAUUUAUUCGGUUUUAGAAUUUCUUUAUGCCAACAAUGCAAACUCCAUUUUGCAUACAAAACGCUUUCAUGAAGAUGUACCCGUCACAUAUUCCAUGCGUCAGAUAAUUGUUAACAUCGCUAUGUUCUAGUUAAUUUUCAUAUCUACUUGUUAUGUAAAAGGGGUGAUGUUUGGUAUCUUAUAUAUGUAAACUGUAUACCCUUGUUAUUUGUUUUUCUGGAGGUUUUUUUUAUGCAUCAUAUAUUAUAUCAAUUCAUAUGAUAUUAUUCUUGCUGUUAUGGAAACAAAUUUAUCUAUAUUUAAGAUCAUUUGAAGAGUAUUUACAGAUUCAUAAACAAACAUACGGAUGUAGGUAUUCAACCGAUAUGUCCCUGGGCCACAUAUAGUUGGCUCAAGCUAUCAGAUCUGGUUUUAUAUCCAUCUGUUGUGCUUUUCAUGUAUCUGAUCCCCAGUAAUUACUCAAAAGACAAUUCCAAAGAGAUAGUGGCAAACCAAAAUGUUACCAAACUAUAUUGGUAACAAAUAAAACGCUCGCACAAAAUUGUUAAAAUAAGACCAAUUAAAACAAGAACAAACAAGUCCAAUAGCACUGACACAUUUUUACCUAUAAGGUCUUUAAAAAUCUUUGCACAAUGCUCAGAGCUCACUCCUAUAUAGCCAUUUCUGGUUUUACUUUGGAUGAGCUAUAUUGCAAUAUUAAGAAACAGACCAACCCUUAAAGUGUUAACCUUUGGAAUACUUUGACUUAAUUCUUUUAUGUCACCUGGAACAAACCUAUCAUGAUUGGAUUCACACCACAGAAUCUUCAUGCAGAGAAUUCUUUAGAAUGAGUCCCACAUUGUUUACAGGAAUUACAUAUUUAAAGAUCUGUUCAUGAGUCCAGUAAUAAAGUCAGAGGUAGUCGCAAAAUAACCAUUUGAAGAAAUUAUAGUUGACACUCAAUUUGACAGGACAUUUUGCAGCAUGAAGUGGUGUAAUUGUCACAAAAGUCCCCCAGUCCUCUCCACACAAUUCAAUUUCAUCACGUUAUUUGCCAUAAUAUAUAUAUUUUUUUAGUAAUCUAGUGUUAGCAAUUUUAUGUUUAUCUUUCAAAAUUUACUUCUGUAAUGUUUUGAUUCCAACUGUCUUUUUUGUAGGUUUUCAUCCUAAUUUAUACAUUGGCAUGCAAAUUUAUAGAUUAAAUCAUAUACUCAAUCUAGUGAGCAUAAGUUGUUUGGAGCAUGACAGAUGCCCUUUAAAACUGCAGUGUACAUUUACAUUGCAUCGCUAAGAGGGACAAGCACACUGUACCCAGACCGUGUCAAUAAAAUUAAAUGGUCUGGGUGCCUAUGGUGUCCCUUUAAGAUAAAUGUAUCUUAGGUAAAUAAAAUAAAAAAAAGAUUACAUAUUUUCUAAACUACGUCAAUGUUAGUUGAACAGAGAUUACUCUAAACAGAUGGAAAUGACUGUUCGACUGACCAGAGUAACUAAAUCUUUAGCAUUAGAAAGCAGAAGACUAUUAGACUUGUCUCUUUAGGAGAUUCUAAAAGCAG